UCUCCUCCUCUUCUCAAGAUCGACGACUCCUGUUCCUCCUCUCCCGUGCUCGAUCUCAAUCCCCACGCAUCUUCUUUCAGCAUGGGUAGCCUCUCCACACAUCCGCCCCUGCCCCAGUUGCAGGUAUUCCUCCAGACGAUGACGUCGGUGCCAAAGGGCCCCACAUCCCAACUGGAAGGCAGAUCCCUAGACCCAGAUCCCCUCCCUUUGUAGUCCAGGAUGAGGCCCUGGAUUCCAUUGCCCAGGAGGAUCCGGCGGUUGAGGUGGAGUAGGAGGUCUCGGUAGUGUGGAGGAGGUCUGGGAGUACGUGGAGCCGUCGGAGGAGGCCAUGGUGUACGUGUGCGACCUUCCCUACGACGUCAACAACAAGCGCCUUGCAGCUCUCCGAUCAGGUCAGCAUCGUCAAGGUUGACGAGUGAGCAACUCUUCCUCUUAGACCAUCUUCAAUGUUGGGUUCUAGCAAAAGGUACUGGGAUUUGUUGACCAUCUUCAAUGCUGGAUGGUAGCAAAAGGUGCUAGGAUUUGUUUCCCAGUCGAUCGGCAGUUGAGCCUCAUAGAUGGAUGCAUCAAGCGCAGGUAGAGUACUGAAGGCCAGCGUCGUUGAGGUUACCGUGGUGAGAAGCACUUCCUCUUAGACCAUCUUAGUGCUAGAUGAUAGCAUAAGGUGGUAUGAUUAGUUUCACAGUGAAUAUGUGGCAUCGACAACAAAAGAUACAUCAAGCGCUUGGGUAUAUUCCUCCGCAUGAGGUAAAAUACUGAACUUGUUUUCAAUCUAUAAUUAGCACCCAUACUUAGCACCAAGUGGUGAAAUAGAGGACGCUUAGAUGGUUUUAAAUUUUAUGGUAUUUAUUUUCUCUAUCUCUGAGCGUCUACACAGCCGACCCACAUUAUAGAUGAUGUUAGCUUGCUGCCAAUGUCAUUCCUCUGUAGACACACGCGCAUUUUGCCUUGUGAAGGGAAUGCCUCUAAUCAUCGGACCCUUGAUAAUGUGUCAUAUUCUUGCAAGACUGAAACCGGCACAUUCGGUUCUAGAUGUAAAUGAUGUCUGAUUUAAUGUGGUGGUUGUGUUGUUGAAGCACAACUGAAGUGGCACAUUGACUUCUACACAUGCAUCAACAACCUCCAAAACUUCAGAAAGCAAAGAGUUGGAGAACCAUCCUCUAGGAUCUCCUGUACGACCAAAGAUUAUUUUGCUUCCAAAACUACUUAUAAACGCAUCAAGUUUUAAGUGCAAUUCCACACCGAGAUGUUGUUAUUCAUGUUGUGAUGAUACUAUAUCAGCUUCAAAAUUUAUUUUACUCACAAGUAGUCCAUAAAUAUGUGAACCUGAAUACUCAAACCAUUGUAGGGGGAGGAUUUCCACAGUAUCCAUAGGCUGGUUAACCUGUUUGGAAUUGAACUCCCUGAAUUGACGUUAAGCUUGGCAACUACAGAAUACAUUGUCUUGAGGUAUAAUAGCCCUUGAUUCUCUAACAGUCACUAUUGCAUGAAUUGUAGCAAGGUGAGCCCAAAAUCUCUCUUGUGAAUCACAUUGCUUCCAAUGAUUUCAUGACUGAGUUCUCGGGAUUUAAGAUUUUGUAUUUUCUUGUUUAUUUUCUUUUCUUUUGGAGGAGAACAAGAUGCAGCUUGUAAAUAUGUGACUUUCCAAGUUUAGCUGAAUAAACAAAUAAAUCCUCUGUAAGUUGAUGUAUAGAAAAGUGGAUCCUUGCAUAGGUUUUGUAUUAUAUAUAUUUAACUCGGCAUAGUUAACAUUUUUUUCAUCUUUCUCCGAGAGCUUUUCAGAUAUCAUCUACACCUCAGACAAGUAAUAUUAACUUGCUAAAAGUAAGAAAGGUAACACAAGGUUUGCAAGUUUGACAAAGCUUUCCCUUAGUUCUUGAAUGUAGCUAUUUUUCUUUUUCUUUUUAGUCAAAUUGUUGUAGCCAUGGAGACAAAAACAUUACUUUCAGAUUGUUUCUAGCUGUGACGUUUGUCAAAAUUGAAUAGAAGAAAUAGCGUGCAGUGUCAAAGUUGGAUAGAAGAAACAACGCGCAGUGGCACGCAAAGUGGGUUUGUAAAAUAAGUGACAACGCCAAUUUAUUUCUCCCGGUGUAACACACGGCCAUGUGUGCUACAUAAAAGGGAGGAGGAAGUAUGUUCAUGCAUUGCAAGCUUUACUGAGUCAUGAUGCACAUUGAGAAGUUAGUGGUGUGUUCAUCUUUUCUUUUGAAAUAAUUGUUGAAUAAUGGAAAAAGGGCGCUACCGUUGGGGUGAAACCCAUCGUAUUUCUAAUGGUAUACAACCAAAAUCAGGGUGAGACCAGAUGUUAUACUGAAAAUUUCAGGUUAUUGAGCACAAUUUUGUUUCUAUUGCAAUGUAUGUGUAUGUUUGGCAUGCAAUGAUGAUAUCUAAUUGCA